GGUUAAGCGACUAAGCGUACACGGUGGAUGCCCUGGCAGUCAGAGGCGAUGAAGGACGUGCUAAUCUGCGAUAAGCGUCGGUGAGGUGAUAUGAACCGUUAUAACCGGCGAUUUCCGAAUGGGGAAACCCAGUGUGAUUCGUCACACUAUCAUUAACUGAAUCCAUAGGUUAAUGAGGCGAACCGGGGGAACUGAAACAUCUAAGUACCCCGAGGAAAAGAAAUCAACCGAGAUUCCCCCAGUAGCGGCGAGCGAACGGGGAGGAGCCCAGAGCCUGAAUCAGUGUGUGUGUUAGUGGAAGCGUCUGGAAAGGCGUGCGAUACAGGGUGACAGCCCCGUACACAAAAAUGCACAUACUGUGAGCUCGAUGAGUAGGGCGGGACACGUGGUAUCCUGUCUGAAUAUGGGGGGACCAUCCUCCAAGGCUAAAUACUCCUGACUGACCGAUAGUGAACCAGUACCGUGAGGGAAAGGCGAAAAGAACCCCGGCGAGGGGAGUGAAAAAGAACCUGAAACCGUGUACGUACAAGCAGUGGGAGCCUCUUAAUGGGGUGACUGCGUACCUUUUGUAUAAUGGGUCAGCGACUUAUAUUCUGUAGCAAGGUUAACCGAAUAGGGGAGCCGAAGGGAAACCGAGUCUUAACUGGGCGUUAAGUUGCAGGGUAUAGAUCCGAAACCCGGUGAUCUAGCCAUGGGCAGGUUGAAGGUUGGGUAACACUAACUGGAGGACCGAACCGACUAAUGUUGAAAAAUUAGCGGAUGACUUGUGGCUGGGGGUGAAAGGCCAAUCAAACCGGGAGAUAGCUGGUUCUCCCCGAAAGCUAUUUAGGUAGCGCCUCGUGAAUUCAUCUCCGGGGGUAGAGCACUGUUUCGGCAAGGGGGUCAUCCCGACUUACCAACCCGAUGCAAACUGCGAAUACCGGAGAAUGUUAUCACGGGAGACACACGGCGGGUGCUAACGUCCGUCGUGAAGAGGGAAACAACCCAGACCGCCAGCUAAGGUCCCAAAGUCAUGGUUAAGUGGGAAACGAUGUGGGAAGGCCCAGACAGCCAGGAUGUUGGCUUAGAAGCAGCCAUCAUUUAAAGAAAGCGUAAUAGCUCACUGGUCGAGUCGGCCUGCGCGGAAGAUGUAACGGGGCUAAACCAUGCACCGAAGCUGCGGCAGCGACACUAUGUGUUGUUGGGUAGGGGAGCGUUCUGUAAGCCUGUGAAGGUGUACUGUGAGGUAUGCUGGAGGUAUCAGAAGUGCGAAUGCUGACAUAAGUAACGAUAAAGCGGGUGAAAAGCCCGCUCGCCGGAAGACCAAGGGUUCCUGUCCAACGUUAAUCGGGGCAGGGUGAGUCGACCCCUAAGGCGAGGCCGAAAGGCGUAGUCGAUGGGAAACAGGUUAAUAUUCCUGUACUUGGUGUUACUGCGAAGGGGGGACGGAGAAGGCUAUGUUGGCCGGGCGACGGUUGUCCCGGUUUAAGCGUGUAGGCUGGUUUUCCAGGCAAAUCCGGAAAAUCAAGGCUGAGGCGUGAUGACGAGGCACUACGGUGCUGAAGCAACAAAUGCCCUGCUUCCAGGAAAAGCCUCUAAGCAUCAGGUAACAUCAAAUCGUACCCCAAACCGACACAGGUGGUCAGGUAGAGAAUACCAAGGCGCUUGAGAGAACUCGGGUGAAGGAACUAGGCAAAAUGGUGCCGUAACUUCGGGAGAAGGCACGCUGAUAUGUAGGUGAAGUCCCUCGCGGAUGGAGCUGAAAUCAGUCGAAGAUACCAGCUGGCUGCAACUGUUUAUUAAAAACACAGCACUGUGCAAACACGAAAGUGGACGUAUACGGUGUGACGCCUGCCCGGUGCCGGAAGGUUAAUUGAUGGGGUUAGCGGUAACGCGAAGCUCUUGAUCGAAGCCCCGGUAAACGGCGGCCGUAACUAUAACGGUCCUAAGGUAGCGAAAUUCCUUGUCGGGUAAGUUCCGACCUGCACGAAUGGCGUAAUGAUGGCCAGGCUGUCUCCACCCGAGACUCAGUGAAAUUGAACUCGCUGUGAAGAUGCAGUGUACCCGCGGCAAGACGGAAAGACCCCGUGAACCUUUACUAUAGCUUGACACUGAACAUUGAGCCUUGAUGUGUAGGAUAGGUGGGAGGCUUUGAAGUGUGGACGCCAGUCUGCAUGGAGCCGGCCUUGAAAUACCACCCUUUAAUGUUUGAUGUUCUAACGUUGGCCCCUGACCGGGGUUGCGGACAGUGUCUGGUGGGUAGUUUGACUGGGGCGGUCUCCUCCUAAAGAGUAACGGAGGAGCACGAAGGUUGGCUAAUCCUGGUCGGACAUCAGGAGGUUAGUGCAAUGGCAUAAGCCAGCUUGACUGCGAGCGUGACGGCGCGAGCAGGUGCGAAAGCAGGUCAUAGUGAUCCGGUGGUUCUGAAUGGAAGGGCCAUCGCUCAACGGAUAAAAGGUACUCCGGGGAUAACAGGCUGAUACCGCCCAAGAGUUCAUAUCGACGGCGGUGUUUGGCACCUCGAUGUCGGCUCAUCACAUCCUGGGGCUGAAGUAGGUCCCAAGGGUAUGGCUGUUCGCCAUUUAAAGUGGUACGCGAGCUGGGUUUAGAACGUCGUGAGACAGUUCGGUCCCUAUCUGCCGUGGGCGCUGGAGAACUGAGGGGGGCUGCUCCUAGUACGAGAGGACCGGAGUGGACGCAUCACUGGUGUUCGGGUUGUCAUGCCAAUGGCACUGCCCGGUAGCUAAAUGCGGAAGAGAUAAGUGCUGAAAGCAUCUAAGCACGAAACUUGCCCCGAGAUGAGUUCUCCCUGACUCCUUGAGAGUCCUGAAGGAACGUUGAAGACGACGACGUUGAUAGGCCGGGUGUGUAAGCGCAGCGAUGCGUUGAGCUAACCGGUACUAAUGAACCGUGAGGCUUAACCUU
rnacentral:rRNA from 1 species